GGAGGAGUGCCUGAGUGGUUGAAAGGAACGGUCCUGAAAACCGUUAUACCGGAAACGGUAUCGUGAGUUCGAAUCUCACCUCCUCCG
rnacentral:tRNA from 1 species